AUGCUCCAAUUGUGCCUCAGUUUCAAUCUAAACCAAAAUUACACUGCAACGACUUCGUAUCUAAACUUGCAGUUUUGGGAAUUCCGUUACUAUAAUCGGGACACACAACCUAGCAACGAGGGAUAUGAUAAAUAUAGCAGAAAGAGGCGAUUCGAAGUUUAUCGGCCAGAGCAGCCCCGACGGAUCUCCGACUAUGACGAUGGUGGAAGAACAAAAACAUAUAUUAUCCGUGAAUUCAGGUUAAGAGCUGAUGUACGCGGUUCUUGCGAGAUACUGAGAAAUGCAGGGAAGUGA